GUGGGGAAUAUUGGACAAUGGGCGAAAGCCUGAUCCAGCCAUGCCGCGUGUGUGAAGAAGGUCUUCGGAUUGUAAAGCACUUUAAGUUGGGAGAAAGGGCAGUAAGUUAAUACCUUGCUGUUUUGACGUUACCAACAGAAUAAGCACCGGCUAACUUCGUGCCAGCAGCCGCGGUAAUACGAAGGGUGCAAGCGUUAAUCGGAAUUACUGGGCGUAAAGCGCGCGUAGGUGGUUCAGCAAGUUGGAGGUGAAAUCCCCGGGCUCAACCUGGGAACUGCCACCAAAACUGCAUGACUAGAGUACGGUAGAGGGUAGUGGAAUUUCCUGUGUAGCGGUGAAAUGCGUAGAUAUAGGAAGGAACACCAGUGGCGAAGGCGACUACCUGGACUGAUACUGACACUGAGGUGCGAAAGCGUGGGGAGCAAACAGGAUUAGAUACCCCUGUAGUCC
rnacentral:rRNA from 1 species